rnacentral:rRNA from 1 species
GAUGAACGCUGGCGGCGUGCCUAACACAUGCAAGUCGAGCGAUUCUCUUCGGAGAAGAGCGGCGGACGGGUGAGUAACGCGUGGGUAACCUGCCCUGUACACACGGAUAACAUACCGAAAGGUAUGCUAAUACGGGAUAACAUAAGAGAGUCGCAUGGCUUUCUUAUCAAAGCUCCGGCGGUACAGGAUGGACCCGCGUCUGAUUAGCUAGUUGGUGAGGUAAUGGCUCACCAAGGCGACGAUCAGUAGCCGACCUGAGAGGGUGAUCGGCCACAUUGGAACUGAGACACGGUCCAAACUCCUACGGGAGGCAGCAGUGGGGAAUAUUGCACAAUGGGCGAAAGCCUGAUGCAGCAACGCCGCGUGAGCGAUGAAGGCCUUCGGGUCGUAAAGCUCUGUCCUCAAGGAAGAUAAUGACGGUACUUGAGGAGGAAGCCCCGGCUAACUACGUGCCAGCAGCCGCCGUAAUAC